CUAAAAUGCUGCACUGUGUUUUGUUUAACUGCCAGACCUGCUAGCAGAAUGCCAAAGCUAAUAGCUAAACUCUGUUGUGAGCAGCACAGAGCAGCACACCUCACUACAUCACCCUGCAGUCCCACAGUACAGUAGAAAAGUAGAGUGGAUAAAGUUUCUAUCUGACGGCAGGUUCACAGCUACAGUCCAUAAAAACCUGUAGGCUAAAAGUGUUCUCUCCAACCUGGGUAAGCUCAACGGAAGACUGGCAACAGAACUUCUCUGGAAAAAAGAUUCACUGUCAGUGGAAACAAUGCAAAUGAGAUCUCAGAGCUCUCCGGAUUUUAGCAAGGAUCUGGAUCUCGGAACAGAGUAGGAGAACGGAGGUGUGCUAUUCAUCAAUGGCCUGGAUGCAGCAUCACUGGGUAGCCAAUGGGCUUUGAGGAUAGCGCAGCGACCCAGCUUUAAUACAUCAGAUAACAGAUGCCUGUAUUGACCAACAUCACCUUCCAAGCGAUGUGGUAAAGCAUAGCCAGAGAGAGCAUGGCCAAUUGUGCUCACUCGGACUCCGGUUGCUGAUGAUAUAGAACAGCACUUCAGCACAGCGAGAACUGCGCCCAAAAGGGAGACAAUAUCAAUCAGCAGCCGCCUCGAAAAAAAACCCCACAAGCCUCAGUCCCACGCUCCACAGCAGAGCUCGCCAACACCAGACAGAAUCCCCCUGAGCUUCCUUAAUUCAGUUUUGUCUACCCACUACCCAAAGCCCAUCCCUGAAGGCAUCUCCUUAUCCUUCCUGGCUUGUGGCUAAUUCCUCCCUUAUCCCUUCGUUUCCUGUGUGCCCAUCAUUCUCUAAAAGGUUGAGGAACUGUGGAGCCAUGUGGAGAAAGGCACACCAAAUCUACCCGGUGGAUAAUGACCAACUACAAAGGAAAACAGAUAUAGCUUUGUAUCCUUUUAUAUAUUAACAGCUCCUCUUCUUUAUAGGGGUCAUGAACCCAGUUUAUAUGGAGAGUGCCCUAUAGGGUGCCUGCAGAUGAUCUAGUUACUGUUACGGGAUAGGGUGCUGUUGGAUCCAAGUGCAGAGCAAAAUGGUUGUUUGUUUUGGGAUGUAUUUAAUAAUUUAUAUCUUCAGUCAUAUAUGUUUGCUUAGGUAUAUUUAUAAUUAUUUGAUUACUCAAUUGUUUCUGAUAUUUAUAAAUAUGUUUUAAUAUUGUUUGUGUCAAAAGGGUGUGCUUGUGGAACUUGGUUUGGUUUUCCACAGAGGAAACUGGAAAAUAGGUGGAAAACAAAACUCUGAAGAGGUGCACAAAAAAGGCGGGAAACAGAACAAAGGAAAUGCCACAAAAUGGCAUGUACAACUGAAACACAGCUUUUUAGCUUCAAAUAACUCAAACCAAAACACAAUCAAACUCAAAACGGACUGAGCACAGCUCAGACCUCUACUUUUACUUUCUUUUGAGAUCUUUUAUAUCUUUUUUGUGCGACUUUCUUUUCUUUUCUUUUCUUCUUUCUUUCUUUUAUUUUCUUUUAUUUUCUUCUGUCUUUCUUUCUUUCUUUUAUUUUAUUUUCUUACACCCUCUGUUACCGGUCACCCCUCUGUAAAGGUGCGACGAGAAGGAGUGGUUUGACUGGGCUUUAUAUAGAGUGCUGCACAGGUGUCGCUGGUUGCCACUGAUCACCGCUGGGGAUUCUGGGACUUGGAGUUUCGGGACCCAAUGCCACUUCUUUUUCCCCUCUGUUGCCCAGCUCCCCUGCUGGUGGCCAGUGGUGCAGCACUGCCCAUCACAGUUACUAAACCAACUUUCUUA
ensembl:lncRNA